AUGAAUCUAGUUAGACUAUUGAAGGUGUGUCUUGUGAUGCAGUUGAUAAUAAAAGGCCGUAGUCCCUUGUACAUGUAACUGUAGUAAUUUGUGUAGUCCUCUACAUUUUCAUUUAUUUGUACAUGUAUGAAAAUAUCAUGGAUGGCAAAUGAUAUUGAUGAUUACAACUGUUAUCUACUGCAGGGACUAGACAGCUAAUUCAAUAAAGGAAACUGCAUAUAUAAAAUCCAGAAUUCCAACAGUCUCUCAAGGAGAUGAAAGAGAGAGUAGAAGAUCUGUUGUUUAUGUUUCAAGAUCAUGUCGUUUGGAGUUUCAAGAUGUGAAGACUAAUAAAUUUUGAUCUUUGUAAAUUUAUUUCUUUUGUUCUUUUUAAAUUUAUGUUUUAGUUUAA